rnacentral:rRNA from 1 species
UAAAGGUCGAACGGGGAGAUUCAGUAUCCGUUUCGUUCCGCCGCGCCUCGCGGCCGGUCAAUACCGCUCGGGUUUCGGCCCGCUCGGUGCCGGUCGCGGGGUUUGCGCGCGGGCGACGGAGCGCACUUCUCCCCUAGUAGGACGCCGCGACCCGUUGGGGGCCGGUCCUAAGGCCCGGGUGCGAGUCCGCGACUGCUCGUCAGUCGCGGAGCCCCGGUGUCCCGGACCGCCUUGCGACGGUCUUACGACGUGGAGCUCUCCCGCUUCCUUUUGUGGAGCGCCGGUGCCUCUCGCGAGCGCCCCGCCCGCUAGUCUCCGCGCGGACUUUUGUCCGCCGGGAUCGGUCGGGGGCUGUCGGCGUUGAGGAGUUCUCCGGCAGGGAGUUUGCCACCCCGUCCGCGGCGCUCAAAACAGGGCGACCCACCCGGCCCGUCUUGAAACACGGACCAAGGAGUCUAACAUGUACGCGAGUCGUCGGGCACCACUAAACCCGAAGGCGCAUUAAACGAAAAGGCGGGCCGCCAUACCCGCCGAGGGAGGAUGGGGCGUCGCUCGCGGCGCCCCCGCACUCCCGGGGCGUCUCACCCUACCCGGGCUCGUCUCGGGAAGGAGAGGCGCACCAAGAGCGUACAUGUUGGGACCCGAAAGAUGGUGAACUAUGCCUGGUCAGGACGAAGUCAGGGGAAACCCUGAUGGAGGUCCGUAGCGAUUCUGACGUGCAAAU